GAUUAACGCUGGCGGCGUGCAUAACACAUGCAAGUCGAACGAUGAAACUUUUUUGAUUUCUUCGAAAUGAAAAAAAGUGGAUUAGUGGCGGACGGGUGAGUAACGCGUGAGUAACCUGCCUUAGAGAAGGGGAUAGCCUUUGGAAACGAAGAAUAAUACCCUAUGAAACCAUAACCUCGCAUGAGGCCUUGGUCAAAGAUUUAUCGCUCUAAGAUGGACUUGCGUCUGAUUAGUUAGUUGGUGGGGUAACGGCCCACCAAGACAGCGAUCAGUAGCCGGCUUGAGAGAGUGUACGGCCACAUUGGGACUGAGACACGGCCCAGACUCCUACGGGAGGCAGCAGUGGGGAAUUUUGCACAAUGGGGGAAACCCUGAUGCAGCGACGCCGCGUGAUUUAGAAGGCCUUCGGGUUGUAAAAAUCUUUUCUAUGGGAAGAAAAUGACAGUACCAUAGGAAUAAGGACCGGCUAAUUACGUGCCAGCAGCCGCGGUAAUACGUAAGGUCCGAGCGUUGUCCGGAAUCAUUGGGCGUAAAGGGUACGUAGGCGGGUAAGCAAGUUAGAAGUGAAAUCCUAUAGCUCAACUAUAGUAAGCUUUUAAAACUGCUCAUCUUGAGGUAUGGAAGGGAAAGUGGAAUUCCUAGUGUAGCGGUGAAAUGCGCAGAUAUUAGGAGGAAUACCGGUGGCGAAGGCGACUUUCUGGCCAUAACCUGACGCUGAGGUACGAAAGCGUGGGUAGCAAACAGG
rnacentral:rRNA from 1 species